UUGCUUCUUAUCAAUUCGAGUGGCAAACGGGUGAGUAACGCGUAGGCAACCUGCCCUUUAGACGGGGACAACAGUUGGAAACGACUGCUAAUACCGCAUGACACAUAGAUGUCGCAUGGCAUUUAUGUCAAAGAUUUAUCGCUGAAAGAUGGCCUCGCGUCUGAUUAGCUAGUUGGUGAGGUAACGGCCCACCAAGGCGACGAUCAGUAGCCGGACUGAGAGGUUGAACGGCCACAUUGGGACUGAGAUACGGCCCAGACUCC
rnacentral:rRNA from 1 species